AAUCCCAAACCCGAGUUCAUGAAUCAAGUCUCAUGAACCAAAUCUCAUGGACCAAAUCCCAUGAACCAUAACCAAAUCUCAUGGACCAAAUCCCAUGAAACAAAAGAAAAUCUCAUGGACCAAAUCCCAUGAACCAAAACCAAAUCUCAUGGACCAAAUCCCAUGAACCAACCAAAUCUCAUGGACCAAAUCUCAUGAACCAAAACCAAAUCUCAUGGACCAAAUCCCAUGAACCAAAACCAAACCUCAUGGACCAAAUCCUAUGAGCCACAACCAAAUCUCAUGGACCAAAUCCCAUGAACCAAAACCAAAUCUCAUGGACCAAAUCCCAUGAACCAAAAACCAAAUUUCAUGGACCAAAUCCCAUGACCCAAAACCAAAUCUCAUGGACCAAAUCCCAUGAGCCACAACUAAACCUCAUGGACCAUAUCCCAUGAACCAAAAUCAAAUCUCAUGGACCAAAUCCCAUGAACCAAAACCAAACCUCAUGGACCAAAUCCCAUGAACCAAAACCAAAUCUCAUGGACCAAAUCCCAUGAACCAAAACCAAAUCUCAUGGACAAAAUCCCAUGAACCAAAACCAAACCUCAUGGACCAAAUCCCAUGAACCAUAAACCAAAUCUCAUGGACCAAAUUCCAUGAACCAACCAAAUCUCAUGGACCAAAUCCCAUGAACCAUAAUCAAACCUCAUGGACCAAAUCCCAUGAACCACAACUAAACCUCAUGGAACAAAUCCCAUGAACCAUAAUCAAGCCUCAUGGACCAAACCCCAUAAACCAUGCACCAAACCUCAUGGACUAAAUCCCAUGAACCAUACAUCCAGCCUAAUACCCAUAUCCCAUGAACCAAUACCUAAAUCUCAUAAACCAAUACCCAAAUCCCAUGAACGAAUACCCAGAUCUCAUACCCAUAUCUCAUGAACCAAUUAGACUCUAAUACAUAGAGUUUAAUAUCGACUAGGUCUUAACACAUAUACUUAGGGCCUAAUCAACCUCAAAUCCAACUGAAUCCUAAUACAUAUACUUAGGAUUCAAUAAACCGAGAUACGA
rnacentral:lncRNA from 1 species